UUCUUCAGAAAAAUUAAUUAAAAAGAUUAAUUAACUAGAAGGAAUUCAGCAAAUUUAAUUGCUCCGCCUGUUUAUCAAARACAUGGCUCUUUGCUUAAUAAAUAUAAAGAGUCGAGCCUGCCCAGUGAAUCUUUCAACGGCCGCGGUACUCUGACCGUGCAAAGGUAGCGUAAUCAUUUGCCUUAUAAUUGAAGGCUAGUAUGAAUGGUUUGACGAGAGCAAUACUGUCUCCUUUUUAUUUUCAAGAACUUAACUUUUAGGUGAAGAGGCCUAAAUUUUAUUGAAGGACAAGAAGACCCUGUCGAGCUUARAAGAAAUUAUAGAAGUUUAAUAUAUCUUUAGAUAAAUUUCCUAUUAAGCUUUUUAGUUGGGGCGACUGAGGAACAAAAAAAGCUUCUUUCUAAUAAUAMACAAUCACGUUUAGAUCCGAUAGUAGCGAUUAAAGGAAUUAGUUACCGCAGGGAUAACAGCAUAAUCUCUCUUAAGAGACCUAAUCGAAAGAGGGGGUUGUGACCUCGAUGUUGGACUAGAAUAUCCUAAAGAUGC
rnacentral:rRNA from 1 species